AUUGAACGCUGGCGGCAGGCCUAACACAUGCAAGUCGAGCGGAUGAAGGGAGCUUGCUCCUGGAUUCAGCGGCGGACGGGUGAGUAAUGCCUAGGAAUCUGCCUGGUAGUGGGGGAUAACGUCCGGAAACGGGCGCUAAUACCGCAUACGUCCUGAGGGAGAAAGUGGGGGAUCUUCGGACCUCACGCUAUCAGAUGAGCCUAGGUCGGAUUAGCUAGUUGGUGGGGUAAAGGCCUACCAAGGCGACGAUCCGUAACUGGUCUGAGAGGAUGAUCAGUCACACUGGAACUGAGACACGGUCCAGACUCCUACGGGAGGCAGCAGUGGGGAAUAUUGGACAAUCGGCGAAAGCCUGAUCCAGCCAUGCCGCGUGUGUGAAGAAGGUCUUCGGAUUGUAAAGCACUUUAAGUUGGGAGGAAGGGCAGUAAGUUAAUACCUUGCUGUUUUGACGUUACCAACAGAAUAAGCACCGGCUAACUUCGUG
rnacentral:rRNA from 1 species